rnacentral:rRNA from 1 species
GACGAACGCUGGCGGCAGGCUUAACACAUGCAAGUCGAACGCAUCCUUCGGGGUGAGUGGCAGACGGGUGAGUAACGCGUGGGAACGUGCCCUUCAGUUCGGGAUAACCCAGGGAAACUUGGGCUAAUACCGGAUACGUGCGAGAGCAGAAAGAUUUAUCGCUGAAGGAUCGGCCCGCGUCUGAUUAGCUAGUUGGUGGGGUAAUGGCCCACCAAGGCGACGAUCAGUAGCUGGUCUGAGAGGAUGAUCAGCCACAUUGGGACUGAGAUACGGCCCAGACUCCUACGGGAGGCAGCAGUGGGGAAUAUUGCACAAUGGGCGCAAGCCUGAUGCAGCGACGCCGCGUGAGGGAUGACGGCCUUCGGGUUGUAAACCUCUUUCAGCAUCGACGAAGCGAAAGUGACGGUAGGUGCAGAAGAAGGACCGGCCAACUACGUGCCAGCCGCCGCGGUAA